AGUGGCCUAUGAUGAACAAAGUUUUGCCUACAUUGUCUGAUUCUUUGACAUGAAGAAAAAACUCAAGGUUUCUGAGGCUCUU